CAGGCAGACAGUCACAAACACAUACUCACAGGCAGACACAAACACACUCACAAGCAGACACAAACACUCACAGGCAGACAAUCACACACACACAGUUGCAGGCAGUCACAAACCCACACACUCACAGGCAGACAAACACACACACAUACUCUCUCUCACUCACUUACAGACAGUAUGGGCUGCAGGAGUAGAUGCACUGCGGUCCCUCCAUGGAGUGUUAUUUGGUGAAGCAGCUUCCUGCUUCCCCUCGAUGUCCAGAAGUAGGAGGCCGUGUUUAGCUUGGUCCCCGCUGCCGGUUUGGCUCUGCCCCUGCUGCCGAUUAGCUCCGCCCCAAUCUUCUUACGUGCAGCCCGUUUUCAACUUCUAAGGAUCCUGCGUGUGUGAGCUGUGUCGGCCUCCUGGUGCCCCAGCUGCCCUGGUGACCCGUGCGACGCACAGCUCACACAUCCUAAGGCCCGUCUUUGCCAUGGCACCCCCAUACCGCACCCGGGGCGCACCGGCAUACACCCACUGCACUCACUGACAAACACACGCACAACUGAUUUGAUACAAUCUGAAAGACGCGCACACACACACAUUCACUGACACAAAC